CUUCCAAUGAGUUUUUUUCCCUGUUUACUAGCCCACAGAAGAGUAUGAAAGACUGCUGCUGGUACGACACAUUUAGAACAGAAAGCUCUGACAACUAAUAGCUUGGCACUGGGACUAGCGGCCAAAAAAAAAAAAAAAAAGACUAUUGAAAAAUGCAGUAUUCAAAAGCAUGGCAGCUCAUGAAUCAUCCCAGUAUAAUACACACACACAUAUGUGCAUACAUAUGUUAUUGAGUCUGGAAAAUAUACCACAGUUUGUGCAUAUGACCCCAAUUUAGUAAAAAGAAAAAAUCAUACACAUUUUUAAAGUCUGGGUAAAUGCAUCAACAAUGUUGGAAAAAUAAAUUCCCAUUUGUCUCAGAAUAAUAAGGGAAUGGAGAUUUGGAGUAUUUUAAUAUAAGGUUAACUUACAGGUAAUGUGUAUCAGCCCAAUGUCUUUUCUGUGGAAUACCAGCCCUGGGAUAUGGUCUUCAAAUAUGUUCAUUGGACAUGUAGAUCAGGGAGAGGCUGCCUAUUAUGUCCUCCUGUUGGAGAUGCAUGAUGCAUUUUGAUCCUUUGAAGUCUUUGUGAAGCCCUAUAAAUGGCACCCUGCUCCAGUACUCUUGCCUGGAAAAUCCCAUGGACGGAGAAGUCUGCAGGCUACAGUCCACGGGAUCGCAAAGAGUCGGACUUGACUGAGUGACUUCACUUUCACUUUCUAUAGUAAAGGCACCUUGUUUAACUUUGUAUAUUCCAGGCUGUGAAUUAGCAUUCUUGUAAUUACAAGUAUGCAAACUAAAAAAGAGUAUUUGUUGAGCCGUCUAGAGCUUUGUCUGUGGCCUUCAGGCAUAGCUGGAUCCAGGGGCUUGAAUGCUGUGAUAGGAGCGUUCUUUUCCUCUGCAUUGCCUUCUCAGGCAGAGGCCCUUUCUACAUGGCAGUUUCCAGCAAUUGUGAGUUUACAGCAUCAUUUUAGCUAAAGUGCUUCUCCUUUCCAGUGGUUCUAGUAAACUUCCUUGAAUUGAGUCUCUCUUGCUUGGCUAAGUCUCAUGCUGAUCCCUGAACUGAUGGCCCUGGCCAGGGAGAUGGAAAAUACUCAUUCUCUGGGCCAGGAUCACCCUGGCACCCCUGGUCUGAGCAGUGUAUACACGUGUGGGGUCAAUCCCAUGCAAACUACAUGAACUGUAGGAGGGCUGGGAUGAGGGGGCUGCCCCAAAGAAAACUGGGAUGUGGUUUCCAGGGAGCAAGGGAUGGAUGCUGAGCCGGAAACAAUAGUUUCCAACUCUGACAACAGAGUCCUUUUGUUGCCCAAGACCCAUUCGAGCAUCCAUGGAGAAACACUGCCAAGAGAUCAUUGUACAUUGUUUUUCAAAGAAGUUUAGCAUGUAGUAAAACACAUGCUUGCAAACAUGUGGUUGGACCUUUUUUUGAUGAUGCAGAAAGCCAGUGGAUUCUGCUGGGCCUCGGGGUCAGCUCUGAGUGCUGAAACAUCCUGCUUACCAUCCACUGAGGCUGUUUGGCUUCUUGAUGAAUAGAAGGUUAUGGCAUAGCCAAGUGCAAGGGCCAAGGAACCUGGGAAAGUUCACGCAUGGGACAGUGGACGUAAGUGUGUGUCUCCUGUGUCAAUUUCCCAUGGCACCAGCACACACCACCUCAUUUUAUCCACACACAACCCUUCUGUGUUUGUUAUUCUCCUGUCCAGGGAGUUGAGGCUCAGAUAGGUUAAGCAAUUUGGCAAAUUACUCACAGCCUUGCUCAGGACAUUGGAGAAAAUGACAUUUGUGGAAAAAAAAAAAAACAACCUUGUGAACAGCAAAGAUGUUUUUGAAUGAUGCCUUGGAUUUGGAGGAAAGAGGAUGCUAGCUAGAUAGAGGCAAGAGACUCUGGAGGGUGAGAGAAAAGAACACAAUUUGGGAUGCUUUAUGUAAAAAACGUUUUUAUUUGCCCACACUGUGUAGCAUGUGGGACCUUAGUUCCCUCACCAGGGAUCGAAUUCAUGCUCUCCUGCGUUGGAAGUGAGGAAACAGCCACUGGACUGCCAGGGAGGCCCCUGGAAUGUUUUUAAGGGGCAAUUCAGUUUGCAGGUGUGGCUUCUGAAAGAAUAAGGUUGAAAGAACCAUGUCUGUAUGAGUGAUUCUUCACUGCACCUAGUACUGAGUUAGCAUUCAGACUUACGAAUUAUUUCUGGACACACACCACACACACACACAGAUAUAAAAAUAUGGAUUAAGUUGCAAUAGGACUUCUUUCCAUGAUGCUCGCUUGCUUUACAAGUCAAAUAUAUAAAAAGGAAUGAUUACAUCCAGAGAUAAAGGUUAUUUGCAGAGAUUUUUUACAUUUUAAACUUUCGGUCUAAAAUAAUCACUUUAGACUCUAGAAAAAGAUCCCUUGGGAUUUUCCAAGGAAAAAGAUAUUUUCGUCUUGUGAUCUGCUAACAUACAGUCCAUCUACUGUGUUGGUUUUGUUAUAAGCUCUCAAAGGGAGGCAGUGUCCUGGCCUCUGGUGAUGGCUGUAUGUCCUGCCUCUGCUUGCCUGGCUGCCCCAGGGGUCCAUCUGACUUGAGGUUAUGACAGUGUUUGUGCAGCCCUUUCCCCAGACUCCUGGGUCAGCUGCAGUUCUCACCACCUUCCUGCCCUGGGGGCACCUCCGAGGGACCCAACCAGGUAGCCUGUAGGCGUUCUCCAGUUUCUCAACGAGCUGGCAUCCAGUGAGUCCCUUGUCUGGUGGGUGGUUGCUCAGGAACCUUGCCUUCUCCCUCCACACGUCGCAUCAUAUGCGCCUCCUCUCCCUACAUAUGCCUCCCUCUCCCCUCUGCCCCACAACCGCUGUCUUAGCUCCAGCACCAGGAGGGACAGAAUGCCCCAUCUGUCAUAGCAUUGGCCACACUUCUCCUCCUUUUCCUGCCCUCUGUUCAUACGUGCAUACGUAGAUUUAUUCAUUCCUUCAGAAAAUGUUUAUUAGAUGCUUUGGGCUGGUUAGUAAACAGAGAAGAUGCAGAUCCUACCCUUCGGGGGCUUAUUGUCUAGUCGGGGAGACACAAACACCCAGGAAUAAAUAUACUGUAUGACUAACGUGGGCUUCCGUGGCGGCUCACUGGUAAAGAGUCUGCCAGCCAAUGGAGGGGAUGUGGGUUUGACCUCUGGGUUGGAUGGAUUCCCUGGGGAAGAAAAUGGUGACCCACUCCAGAAUUCUUGCCUGGGAAAUCCCGUGGACAGAGGAGCCUGGCAGCCUAUAGUCCACGGGGGUUGCGAACGAGUUGGACAUGACUUAGUGACUAAACAACAACAAAUAUCUAAGUGUAUCUAAUAAUGUAUAAUAUGUAAUGCAAUAAUAAACACAUGAUAAAAAUAUCAUAUGUAUGGUAACUUAGAAGGUUGAUCAGAGACAUGGUGAAAGGAAAAGGUCAUCAGGAUUCAGAGGACCUGGGAGUUCUGGGAGGCCCAGGGUGUCUUGAAUGGAGUAGUUGGGGUGGGUCUCACUGAGAAGGGAGACUUGAGAGCCUCAAAGGAAGAGAGGAGGGUGUUUAGGAAGAGCUGGAGCGCAGGCCCCUGACAUGAGCAUCUCUCGGUCCAGGUGUGUCCAGGGAGUGGUCCUGAGGCCGGCGCCAGGCCAGUGCAGAGACCGCUGCUGGGAAUCGGGCUUUUAUGCCAAGGCGAGCCAGUGUUGAACCCGCAACGGGGAGGUGCCUGCAUCAGGGAGAUUGGGUUCUUUCCUGAAGUACAGAAAGAAAGGUCUUCUGAGUUCCCAGGCACCGGGAUUGGACAGCCACAAGUCCAAACUUGGCCCUGAAAUAAGUGGAUGUGUGUGAUGAAGGAAGAGAAGAGGGGCAGAGUGGGGAGAGAUGCUUUGUGAACACAGCGUUCCUACCUUUGGCCCUGACUUUGUAUCUCUGUGGGCUGACAAAGGACUGAGAGCCUCAGCUUUCUACCUUGGCUGCAAGGCAGUGGGGGAAAGUACCGUAAAAUUAGGAAAUCUUUAAGAAGCAAACAUCUUAAAGCCUCCGUAUUUUCCCUGCCCUGGGUGCCAAGACAACUCACAAGUGAGGAGUAAGUGGUGGUGGCUGUGGUGGUUGGCAUUCCGUGGCUCAUGGAAGGUGAGAAGGGGAAGGAAGAUGGAACAUGGAGUCUCCUGGGAGCUGAGGUCAGUCACCUGGAGAUGAGGCGGGGCUGCUGCAGGGCGCCUCGGGCAUUUCACCGAGUCUCUUCCUUAUCCUGACGACCGUAGGAAGGUGUAGAAGGCUUUAGAACAGAGGACUGGUGUAACCCAAAUCGUCUUUUGAGAUUUCUUGGUCAGUGAAUUUAAGCCAUUUGGCUGACCAAUAAUUUCUAAGUUAUCUUGGGAAAAUAGGAGCUCCACCAGGAGAGGCUGGAGGGCUUCCCUAGUGGCUCAGUGGUGAAGAGUCACCUGCCGGUGCAGGAGACACGGGUUCGAUCCCUGACCUGGGAAGAUCCCACGUGCCGCCGAGCAGCUAAGCCCAUGCACCACAACUGUUGAGCCUGCGCUCCAGAGCCUGGGAGCUGCGGCGACUGAGCGCACACGCCCUAGAGCCAGUUCUCCGCAACAAGAGAAGCCACUGCAACAACAGGCUCGAGCACCGCAACUAGAGAGAAGCCCGUGAAGUAACC
ensembl:lncRNA